GGUUAAGUGACUAAGCGUACACGGUGGAUGCCUUGGCAGUCAGAGGCGAUGAAAGACGUAGUAACUUGCGAUAAGCCCAGAUUAGGUAGUAACAACCAUUUGAGUCUGGGAUUUCUGAAUGGGGAAACCCACGUGCAUAAGCACGUAUCCUUACCUGAAUACAUAGGGUAAGGAGGCGAACCGGGGGAACUGAAACAUCUAAGUACCCCGAGGAAAAGAAAUCAACCGAGAUUCCGAAAGUAGCGGCGAGCGAAAUUGGACUAGCCCUUAAGCUUUACACGCGUUAGACGAACGGUCUGGAAAGUCCGACGAUACAGGGUGAUAGUCCCGUAGUUGACGACGUGUGUUCAGUGAAAUCGAGUAGGGCGGGACACGUGAUAUCCUGUCUGAAUAUGGGGGGACCAUCCUCCAAGGCUAAAUACUACUGACUGACCGAUAGUGAACCAGUACCGUGAGGGAAAGGCGAAAAGAACCCCUGUGAGGGGAGUGAAAUAGAACCUGAAACCGUGUACGUACAAGCAGUAGGAGCAGGCUUUGUCCUGUGACUGCGUACCUUUUGUAUAAUGGGUCAGCGACUUAUAUUCAGUGGCAAGGUUAACCAUCUAGGGGAGCCGUAGGGAAACCGAGUCUUAACUGGGCGUUCAGUCUCUGGAUAUAGACCCGAAACCAGGUGAUCUAGCCAUGGGCAGGUUGAAGGUUGAGUAACAUCAACUGGAGGACCGAACCGACUAAUGUUGAAAAAUUAGCGGAUGACUUGUGGCUAGGGGUGAAAGGCCAAUCAAACCUGGAGAUAGCUGGUUCUCCCCGAAAGCUAUUUAGGUAGCGCCUCGGACGAAUACUACUGGGGGUAGAGCACUGUUAAGGCUAGGGGGUCAUCCCGACUUACCAACCCUUUGCAAACUCCGAAUACCAGUAAGUACUAUCCGGGAGACACACGGCGGGUGCUAACGUCCGUCGUGGAGAGGGAAACAACCCAGACCGCCAGCUAAGGUCCCAAAUUACUACUAAGUGGGAAACGAUGUGGGAAGGCUCAGACAGCCAGGAUGUUGGCUUAGAAGCAGCCAUCAUUUAAAGAAAGCGUAAUAGCUCACUGGUCGAGUCGGCCUGCGCGGAAGAUGUAACGGGGCUAAGUAGUAAACCGAAGCUGCGGCAAUGUGCUUUUGCACAUUGGGUAGGGGAGCGUUCUGUAAGCGGUUGAAGGUGUGUGGUAACGCAUGCUGGACGUAUCAGAAGUGCGAAUGCUGACAUGAGUAACGAUAAAGGGGGUGAAAAACCUCCUCGCCGGAAGACCAAGGGUUCCUGUCCAACGUUAAUCGGGGCAGGGUAAGUCGACCCCUAAGGCGAGGCCGAAAGGCGUAGUCGAUGGGAAACGGGUUAAUAUUCCCGUACUUCUUACAAUUGCGAUGGGGGGACGGAGAAGGCUAGGUGGGCCUGGCGACGGUUGUCCAGGUUCAAGUGCGUAGGCUUAAGAGUUAGGUAAAUCCGGCUCUUUUUAAGGCUGAGACACGACGUCGAGCACCUACGGGUGUGAAGUCAUUGAUGCCAUGCUUCCAGGAAAAGCCUCUAAGCUUCAGAUUGUAAGGAAUCGUACCCCAAACCGACACAGGUGGUCGGGUAGAGAAUACCAAGGCGCUUGAGAGAACUCGGGUGAAGGAACUAGGCAAAAUGGUACCGUAACUUCGGGAGAAGGUACGCUCUUGAUGGUGAAGUCCCUCGCGGAUGGAGCUGACGAGAGUCGCAGAUACCAGGUGGCUGCAACUGUUUAUUAAAAACACAGCACUGUGCAAAAUCGUAAGAUGACGUAUACGGUGUGACGCCUGCCCGGUGCCGGAAGGUUAAUUGAUGGGGUUAGACUUCGGUCGAAGCUCUUGAUCGAAGCCCCGGUAAACGGCGGCCGUAACUAUAACGGUCCUAAGGUAGCGAAAUUCCUUGUCGGGUAAGUUCCGACCUGCACGAAUGGCGUAAUGAUGGCCACGCUGUCUCCACCCGAGACUCAGUGAAAUUGAAAUCGCUGUGAAGAUGCAGUGUACCCGCGGCUAGACGGAAAGACCCCGUGAACCUUUACUACAGCUUGGCACUGAACAUUGACCCUACAUGUGUAGGAUAGGUGGGAGGCUUUGAAGCACGUACGCCAGUAUGUGUGGAGCCGUCCUUGAAAUACCACCCUUGUAGUGUUGAUGUUCUAACGUCGACCCCUUAUCGGGGUUGCGGACAGUGCCUGGUGGGUAGUUUGACUGGGGCGGUCUCCUCCCAAAGAGUAACGGAGGAGCACGAAGGUGGGCUAAUCACGGUUGGACAUCGUGAGGUUAGUGCAAUGGCAUAAGCCCGCUUGACUGCGAGAAUGACAAUUCGAGCAGGUGCGAAAGCAGGUCAUAGUGAUCCGGUGGUUCUGAAUGGAAGGGCCAUCGCUCAACGGAUAAAAGGUACUCCGGGGAUAACAGGCUGAUACCGCCCAAGAGUUCAUAUCGACGGCGGUGUUUGGCACCUCGAUGUCGGCUCAUCACAUCCUGGGGCUGAAGUCGGUCCCAAGGGUAUGGCUGUUCGCCAUUUAAAGUGGUACGCGAGCUGGGUUUAGAACGUCGUGAGACAGUUCGGUCCCUAUCUGCCGUGGGCGUUGGAAGAUUGAAGGGGGCUGCUCCUAGUACGAGAGGACCGGAGUGGACGAACCUCUGGUGUUCGGGUUGUGUCGCCAGACGCAUUGCCCGGUAGCUAAGUUCGGAAUCGAUAACCGCUGAAAGCAUCUAAGCGGGAAGCGAGCCCUGAGAUGAGUCUUCCCUGAUACUUUAAGUAUCCUAAAGGGUUGUCGGAGACUACGACGUUGAUAGGUCAGGUGUGUAAGUGCUGUGAGGCAUUGAGCUAACUGAUACUAAUUGCCCGUGAGGCUUAACCAU
rnacentral:rRNA from 1 species